rnacentral:lncRNA from 1 species
UCUCUUUUGCAAUACCUGGGAAAGAUGUGAAAUAUCUUCAGCAGCUGAUCCGCAAAUCACAGGACAAAUUACAUAACGAACUACAGGUUGUGACAUGUACAAUUAUAACAAACCAACGCAAUUAGAAUUACAACGCUCAAACAAGCCAACCAGUUUGUUUGCAGGACACUCUAAAGGUAAAGGGGCAGUGCUAGCAACUUGGGAUUGGUGAAUGUAUCAGCUAGCACCACCCAUUCAUAUCGCCUGUCAAUGACUAGGUACUCCCAGAUCCCAAUCCCAAUCCCAAUUGGGACGGAAAUAUUUUAUAGGGAGAUGAAUGGCGCCUCGCCUAACAGUAACAGGCAACCAAAACAUCGUAUCCUUCAACCCUAAAAGCUACACGAUACUAAGUACCGGCACGGGGGAAUAGGGAGGGAGGGACUGAUCGAGUCAACCGGACCUGGACGACGGCGAGGGUGAGGAACUGCUGGAGCUUGAGGGUGAGCUGGUGCUAGAGCCUCCGGUGGUAGAGGUCGGUGUGCCAGUCCGGCAGCACCUGCCGUGUCGAGCACUGCGCCUCCAGGAACUCCAGCGGCCCCGCCAUCGCCUUCCAGGCCGGCCAAGAAGACAAGACGAUGAGGAGGAGGAGUUGUACGCCUGUACAAGCUGGAUCUGGUUCGCUCGCCUACCUGGGUGCGUGCGGAAACCAAACCGCGUUAGGGAAGGAGAGAAAACCAAACCGCGGGCACAGAGAGGAGGAGAAGGACCUUCCAUGGCGUCGAAGGAAGAGCGGCGUCAAAGGCCACCCACCGGACAGCCCCGCCCGAGAAAGGAAGCAGUGGCGUGCGUUGUCUUGAUCUUGGUCGAGCAGGAAGGAGGCGGACGUGGUCUUGGAUCCGUGGUCAAUCGGGGAGCGCCAUGGCCGCCGGCUGACCCGCUGGAUCUGGGACCUAGGGUAGGGGGAGACGGUGAGGUGAAGCAGAGGUUAAGUGGGUGUGGGCGGCGGCGGAGGGAGGCGAGGUCGCCGGUGGAGAAGGUGAGGGGAGGGGCGACGGUGGUGGGUGAGAGGUUGGAGUUGCCGGGUGGCGGCGCGAUCUGGAAGGCGAGGAGGAACGGGUGGUGGCGCGCGGGCGCUGGCGGCGGGAUCGACUGAACCGGAGGUGGGAGGUGGGUGGCGGCUGCGAGGAGUGCAUCUGAAUCGGGGAAGAGAGGGAAGAGGAGUGGAGUUAGGGUCUGGGUGCGGCGGCAAGAGAGGGAACGAGGGAGGAGGGGCUAGGGCUGC